CUGCUCUCUAUGUUAAUUACUCACUAUAUGCUAUGGUUUUGUGCAGGAUUUUGAGCUCCUGGUUAUAACUUAGUUAUCUGCAUUAUAUGUACUUUCUUACCAAUAUUUUUAGUUCGGACUAGCCUUUUUCGAGGUAUCUACCAUGGGCAUUUGCUGGUGCCUUUCCUGCAGAGUGGCUAAAUGCCGCGUUUUGCUUGUAUGUGGUAGCAUUGUUUUGCCGCACCGUGUGUGAUGUGCGUCUUUUGCAAGUGUGUGCUUUCUCCACCCGCUCUUGUUUUCUCGCAGAUGCCGAUCAACCUGCUUUCUGAGAUUCACAAGGAUAGCCGUUAGUGGACCAUAUGUGUUCUUGUUUCCCGCAUGUGGCACUACCGUGGAGGGACCGAAGAGGGUCCUAUCAAACACACUGAUCUUGUUCUGAUUGAUGAGCAGGGAAGCCAUAUGUACGGUCAGCUCCCUCCAGCCACCUC